UACUAUCCGGGAACCCAGCGGCGUCCUGUACCUGAAAUCCGCUACAGCAGGGGUGAAUUCCGGAUCUGAGGGCUGAAUUUUCGUGAUAGAGCCGCGUUCGGACGCGUUGACGGACGGGUCCUGCGCAAUCGGGCGCUUCGAACCGUGUCAGGCGGGGGACCGAGCAGCACUAAGGAGCAUACCCGAUGUGCCGCGGGAGCGCCUGUCCCGAGCUGACGGCGCGGUAUUCGC
rnacentral:SRP_RNA from 1 species